UUCAAACACAGCCCUGGCCAAUCAGCAUCUCCUCAUAGAGAUGAAUUGAAUCAAUGAAUCUCUAUGAGGAAAGUUCAGUGUCUGCAUGCAGAGGGAGGAGAUACUGAAUGUUUGGAUGCAUUUUAGGCAGCCAUGACCCAGGAAGGAUCUCUAACAGCCAUCUGAGAAGUGGCCAGUGAAGUUAUCACUAGGCUGUAAUGUAAACACUGCAUUUUCUCUGAAAAGACAGUGUUUACAGCAAAAGGCCUGAAGGUAAUGAUUCUACUCACCAGAACAAAUUCAAUAAGUUGUAGUUGUUCCGGUAACUAUAGUGUCC